rnacentral:rRNA from 1 species
UACGUAGGUGACAAGCGUUGUCCGGAUUUACUGGGCGUAAAGAGCGCGCAGGCGGUCGUUCAAGUCGAGUGUGAAAGCCCCCGGCUCAACUGGGGAAGGUCACUCGAUACUGAUCGACUCGAAGGCAGGAGAGGGAAGUGGAAUUUCCGGUGUAGUGGUGAAGUGCGUAGAUAUCGGGAGGAACACCAGUGGCGAAGGCGACUUCCUGGCCUGUUCUUGACGCUGAGGCGCGAAAGCUAGGGGAGCAAACGGG